rnacentral:rRNA from 1 species
UACGUAGGCAGCGAGCGUUGUUCGGAGUUACUGGGCGUAAAGAGUGCGUAGGCGGCUUUCUAAGUUUGGUGUGAAAUCUCCCGGCUUAACUGGGAGGGUGCGCCGAAGACUGGAAGGCUUGAGUAUGGGAGAGGUAAGCGGAAUUCCUGGUGUAGCGGUGAAAUGCGUAGAUAUCAGGAGGAACACCUGCGGUGUAGACGGCUUACUGGACCAUCACUGACGCUGAGGCACGAAAGCGUGGGUAGCAAACAGG